rnacentral:rRNA from 1 species
GACGAACGCUGGCGGCGUGCUUAACACAUGCAAGUCGAACGGAAAGGCCCUGCUUCUGUGGGGUGCUCGAGUGGCGAACGGGUGAGUAACACGUGAGUAACCUGCCCUUGACUUUGGGAUAACUUUAGGAAACUGGGGCUAAUACCGGAUAGGAGCUACUGCUGCAUGGUGGGGGUUGGAAAGUUUCGGCGGUUGGGGAUGGACUCGCGGCUUAUCAGCCUGUUGGUGGGGGCGUGGCUUAGCAAGGGUUUGACGGGUAGCCGGCCUGAGAGGGUGACCGGCCACAUUGGGGCUAAGAUGCGGCCCAGACUCCUACGGGAGGCAGCAGUGGGGAAUAUUGCACAAUAGGCGGAAGCCUGAUGCAGCAGCGCCGCGUGCGGGAUGACGGCCUUCGGGUUGUAAACCGCUUUCGCCUGUGGCGAAGAGUGAGUGACGGUAAUGGGUAAAGAAGCACCGGCUAACUACGUG